GAUAUACAUUACCUAUAUAGGUGCGAACGAGGGGACUUGAAACAUCUUAGUACCCUCAGGAAAAGAAAUCAAUAGAGAUUGCGUCAGUAGGGGCGAGCGAAAGCGCAAGAGGGCAAACCCAGUGCUUGCACUGGGGGUUGUAGGACUGCAAUGUGCAAGAGCUGAGUUUAGCAGAACAUUCUGGAAAGUAUAACCAUAGAGGGUGAUAGUCCGUAUGCGAAAAACAAAGCUUAGCUAGCAGUAUCCUGAGUAGGGCGGGACACGAGGAAUCCUGUCUGAAUCCGGGUCGACCACGAUCCAACCCUAAAUACUAAUACCAGAUCGAUAGUGCACAAGUACCGUGAGGGAAAGGUGAAAAGAACUGAGGUGAUCAGAGUGAAAUAGAACCUGAAACCAUUUGCUUACAAUCAUUCAGAGCCCUAUGUAGCAAUACAGGGUGAUGGACUGCCUUUUGCAUAAUGAGCCUGCGAGUUGUGGUGUCUGGCAAGGUUAAGCAAACGCGAAGCCGUAGCGAAAGCGAGUCUGAAUAGGGCGCUUAGUCAGAUGCUGCAGACCCGAAACGAAGUGAUCUAUCCAUGAGCAAGUUGAAGCUAGUGUAAGAACUAGUGGAGGACUGAACCCAUAGGCGUUGAAAAGCCCCGGGAUGACUUGUGGAUAGGGGUGAAAGGCCAAUCAAACUUCGUGAUAGCUGGUUCUCUCCGAAAUAUAUUUAGGUAUAGCGUUGUGUCGUAAUAUAAGGGGGUAGAGCACUGAAUGGGCUAGGGCAUACACCAAUGUACCAAACCCUAUCAAACUCCGAAUACCUUAUAUGUAAUCACAGCAGUCAGGCGGCGAGUGAUAAAGUCCGUCGUCAAGAGGGAAACAACCCAGACAACCAACUGAGGGCCCUAAAUCUUACUUAAGUGGAAAACGAUGAGAAGUUACUUAAACAACCAGGAGGUUGGCUUAGAA
rnacentral:rRNA from 1 species